UGGGAAUCUUAGACAAUGGGGGCAACCCUGAUCUAGCCAUGCCGCGUGAGUGAUGAAGGCCUUAGGGUUGUAAAGCUCUUUCAGCUGGGAAGAUAAUGACGGUACCAGCAGAAGAAGCCCCGGCUAACUCCGUGCCAGCAGCCGCGGUAAUACGGAGGGGGCUAGCGUUGUUCGGAAUUACUGGGCGUAAAGCGCACGUAGGCGGACUGGAAAGUCAGAGGUGAAAUCCCAGGGCUCAACCUUGGAACUGCCUUUGAAACUAUCAGUCUGGAGUUCGAGAGAGGUGAGUGGAAUUCCGAGUGUAGAGGUGAAAUUCGUAGAUAUUCGGAGGAACACCAGUGGCGAAGGCGGCUCACUGGCUCGAUACUGACGCUGAGGUGCGAAAGCGUGGGGAGCAAAACAGGAUUAGAUACCCUGGUAGUCCACGCCGUAAAACGAUGAAUGCCAGACGUCGGCAAGCAUGCUUGUCGGUGUCACACCUAACGGAUUAAGCAUUCCGCCUGGGGAGUACGGUCGCAAGAUUAAAAACUCAAAGGAAUUGACGGGGUCAUAGCUGUUUCCU
rnacentral:rRNA from 1 species